AAUACCUGGGUACGUGUUUUUUCCUAAUUCUUUGUGGAUUAGAACUCUGCAAUUCUAUCUUUCCACGAACUCUUCCCUAUAAAUACAGCCCCAAAUUCGACGUGAAAAGGACACACAAUUCAUAUUCUGAGUAUUGACUCCAACCCUUAGCCUAAGCCUCACGCUGCGAAAUUGUUCACGCGUUCUGUCGCAAUCGAUCCACAAAUCGAACAGAACGUAUCCUGUCCCAUAAUUGAGAUUCGUUAAAUAAAAAGGAGAAAUAUCAAACUCAAAGUGGUUAGUUUUCUGAGAACCGUGACGCACCUCUCAAGGGUGCGUCGUAAUGUGCCCCUUCUCGGUGAUUUAAUUGCUUUUCUCGCCCUUUUUAUGAACUGUUAAACUAACUAAAUCUGAUUGUUCUAUCACGCCUAACAAAUAUAAUAUUUUUGGGAAAUUGGAUUAUCAUGCUAGGUCCCUUAAUACUAUUUAAAUUAGAUAAUCACGAUCGAUCUAGUAUUAUAUGUUGCAUAUUGCUAAAAUCAACUCAGAUUAGUUUACUAGUUAACGCAUGUCCCUUCAAUUAUUUAUGCUGAGCUAGUAAGGAUAUCCUGCCUCUGGAGUUAUCGACGAGCGAAGUAAUCCUCUCGGUAGUUACAGUCCCCCGAACCCUAAUUCUCUACCUUGCGGGUGUAUGUUGAGAGAUCCCCACACCAGGGAUCACAAGGGAACCUACGGCCGUCGUGGUCAAACAUAAUUGCACUCCCUUUAUGUCACGAUAACCGGGUUUUGUCAUUUUUCUCAUUGUUGUUAAAAACUGAAUGGCGACUCCUAUAUUACUAGUCAAAUGGGUAUAUACUCACAGGAAAUCUAAUUACACUUGAUUGAAUAAAAGAAUCGUCACACCCACGAGGGACGAGGUCACGCUCUAGCCUCGUGCUUUUUCGACCCCCUCACAUCAUCUAUGCUGAUGGUGAAGACACCACUGCUCGUAAAUUCAUCGUUGCUGUAGAUGACCCAAGUGGAAAGAUAUAUGUUGAAGCUGGACCAAUAGAUCCGGUUGAUUGGAACGUAGUUGAAGUGAAACUGGACCAACAUUCUGGAAGCAAAGCUGAGACCACUGACCCAAUUCUUGGAAGCAAGAUUGUGGCUCAGGUUACUGGUACUUAUGCAGUUGCAAGGUUCUACAAUUAGCUUAAUUGUCACUUCGACCAGCUUCAGCUUGCUUGCUACAGGCUACAUAGCUAGCACGCAUCUGAUUUAUGCAAUUAAUUAAGUUCGUCUUUAUUUCGAUCAUGCACUUAAUAAAACAAAUGCUUCCCUCUUGAGAUUGUGAUUUGUGGUUUGUGAUCUGUGAUCAACGAAUAAAAAAGGAGGAUGCUCCCUUUUGUGCUUUGUAAUCACAUAGAUCUGUUAUAAAUGGAAAUUUAAGAGUUUUUAUUUUAA